UACGGAGGGUGCAAGCAUUGAUCGGAAUUACUGGGCGUAAAGGGCGCGUAGGCGGUAGAAUAAGUCGGAUGUGAAAUACCGGGGCUCAACCCCGGUGCUGCAUUUGAAACUAUUCAACUAGAGUUCAGUUAGGGUAAACAGAAUUCCACGUGUAGCGGUGAAAUGCGUAGAUAUGUGGAAGAAUACCGGUGGUGAAGACGGUUUACUGGGCUGAUACUGACGCUGAGGCGCGAAAGCAUGGGGAGCAAACAGG
rnacentral:rRNA from 1 species